GUAGGAUGUGCCUCCUUCUUCUUUGCCUUUUGGCAUGAUUGUAAGUUUCCUGAGGACUCCACAACCAUGCUGCCUGUACAGCCUGCAGAACUGCUCAUAGGCAGAAGGAACUUGCCUUGUUUAAGAUGAGACUUUGGACUCUGGACUUUUGAGUUAAUUCUGAAAUGAGUUAAGACUUGGGGGACUGUUGAGAAGGGAUAGUUGUAUUUUGCAAUGUGAGAAGGACAUGAGAUUGGGAGGGGCCAAGGGUAGAAUGAUAUGGUUUGGAUUUGUGUCCCUGCCCAAAUAUCAUGUCAAAUUUUAAUACCCAGUGUUGGAGGAAGGGCCUGGUGGGAAGUGAUUGGAUCAUUGGGGUGGACUUCUCCCUUGCUGUUCUUGUGAUAGUGAGUUCUCAUGAGAUCUGGUUGUUUGAAAGUGUGUGGCAUCUCCCCCUUUACUCACUCUUCCUCUUGCUCCAGCCAUGUAGGACAUGCCUUCUUCCUCUUCUUCUUCCACCAUGGUUGUAAGUUUCUUGAGGCCUCCACAGCCAUGCUUCCUGUACAGCCUGUGGAACUGUGAGUCAAUUAAACCUCUUUUUUUAUUAUAAGUUUCCAAGUCUCAGAUAGUUCUUUAUAGCAAUGUGAAAAUGGACUAAUAGAAGUCUUUAAUCCAUCUCGAGUUGAUUUUUGUAUAUGGCAUAAGAAAGGGGUCCUGUUUCAAUCUUUUGCAUAUGGCUAGCGAGUUUUCCCUGCAUCAUUUAUUGAAUCCUUUUCCCAUUGCUUGUUAUUGUAAUCUUUGUCAAAGAUCAGAUGGUUGUAGAUGUAUAGCUUUAUUUCUAGGUUCUAUAACCUGUUCUAUUGGUUUAUGUGUCUAUUUUGUACCAGUACCAUGCUCUUUUGGACACUAAUAUUGUAGCCUUGUAGUUUGAAGUUGGGUAAGGUGAUGCUUCCAGCUUUGUUCUUUUUGCUCAGAAUUGCCUUGGCUAUUUGGCCUCCUUUUUGUUCCAUCUGAAUUUUAGAAUAGUUUUUUUUUUUUCUAAUUCUGUGAAGAAUGUCAUUGGUAGUUUGGGAAGAAUAGCACUGAAUGUGUAAUUUGCUUGGAACCAUAUGGCCAUUUUGACAAUAUUG
rnacentral:lncRNA from 10 species